CCUACGGGAGGCAGCAGUGAGGAAUAUUGGUCAAUGGGCGCGAGCCUGAACCAGCCAAGUAGCGUGAAGGAUGACUGCCCUACGGGUUGUAAACUUCUUUUAUAAAGGAAUAAAGUUAGGCACGUGUGCCUUUUUGUAUGUACUUUAUGAAUAAGGAUCGGCUAACUCCGUGCCAGCAGCCGCGGUAAUACGGAGGAUCCGAGCGUUAUCCGGAUUUAUUGGGUUUAAAGGGAGCGUAGAUGGGUUGUUAAGUCAGUUGUGAAAUUUUGCGGCUCAACCCUAAAAUUGCCAUUGAUACUGGCAGCCUUGAGUACAGUUGAGGUAGGCGGAAUGCGUGGUGUAGCGGUGAAAUGCUUAGAUAUCACGAAGAACACCGAUUGCGAAGGCAGCUUACUAAACUGCCACUGACAUUGAUGCACGAAAGUGUGGGUAUCAAACAGGAUUAGAUACCCUGGUAGUC
rnacentral:rRNA from 1 species